CCUAAAAGUAGAAACGACAAAAAUAUAUUACAAAGCUUAAGUCAAUUUAACGAUUUUUGUGAACUUGUAAAGAUGCUUACCGUGUUUAUUUAAUUGUUUACAAUAUGAUAUGAGUUUUUGUGAAAUCAAAUUUAUAUAUAAUGGAUAAAGGUGAUCGCAUCUAACAUUCUUGGUUUACGAGUUAUACACACUUAUAUAUAAAUAUAUAUUUUUUUUUGUCGAAACGCAACUUUCAAUCCUGCCUUAAUUAUCACUUU